rnacentral:rRNA from 1 species
UACGGGAGUGGCAAGCGUUAUCCGGAAUUAUUGGGCGUAAAGCGUCCGCAGGCGGCCUUGAAAGUCUGUUGUUAAAGCGUGGAGCUCAACUCCAUUUCAGCAAUGGAAACUACAAGGCUAGAGUGUGGUAGGGGCAGAGGGAAUUCCCGGUGUAGCGGUGAAAUGCGUAGAUAUCGGGAAGAACACCAGUGGCGAAGGCGCUCUGCUGGGCCAUAACUGACGCUCAUGGACGAAAGCGUGGGGAGCAAACAGG